CAGCAGCCACGGUAAUACGGAGGGGGCUAGCGUUGUUCGGAAUUACUGGGCGUAAAGCGCACGUAGGCGGCUUUGUAAGUUAGAGGUGAAAGCCUGGAGCUCAACUCCAGAAUUGCCUUUAAGACUGCAUCGCUUGAAUCGCGGAGAGGUGAGUGGAAUUCCGAGUGUAGAGGUGAAAUUCGUAGAUAUUCGGAAGAACACCAGUGGCGAAGGCGGCUCACUGGACGCGUAUUGACGCUGAGGUGCGAAAGCGUGGGGAGCAAACAGGAUUAGAUACCCGGGUAGUCCCUGUCUCUUAUAC
rnacentral:rRNA from 1 species